CCUACGUGAGGCAGCAGUGGGGAAUAUUGCGCAAUGGGCGAAAGCCUGACGCAGCGACGCCGCGUGAGGGAUGAAGGUCUUCGGAUCGUAAACCUCUGUCAGCAGGGAAGAACGGUCACUGUGCUAAUCAGCAGUGAAUUGACGGUACCUGCAAAGGAAGCACCGGCUAACUCCGUGCCAGCAGCCGCGGUAAUACGGAGGGUGCGAGCGUUAAUCGGAAUUACUGGGCGUAAAGCGCUCGUAGGCGGGAUGUUAAGUCAAGGGUGAAAUCCCCGCGCUCAACGUGGGAACUGCCUUUGAAACUGGCAAACUGGAGUGUGUGAGAGGAUAGUGGAAUUCCAGGUGUAGGAGUGAAAUCCGUAGAGAUCUGGAGGAACAUCAGUGGCGAAGGCGACUAUCUGGCACAUAACUGACGCUGAGGAGCGAAAGCGUGGGUAGCAAACAGGAUUAGAUACCCCUGUAGUC
rnacentral:rRNA from 1 species